rnacentral:piRNA from 1 species
UGGCAGAGGCAAAGAUGAGUCAAAACACUUUU